rnacentral:rRNA from 1 species
CCUACGGGGGACAGCAGUGGGGGAUAUUGCACAAUGGGGGGAACCCUGAUGCAGCGACGCCGCGUGGGUGAAGGAGUGCUUCGGCAUGUAAAGCCCUAUCGGCAGGGAAGAAGCAAGACGGUACCUGACUAAGAAGCCCCGGCUAACUACGUGCCAGCAGCCGCGGUAAUACGGAGGGGGCGCGGGUUAUCCGGAUUCACUGGGUGUAAAGGGAGCCUAGACGGCCAUGCAAGCCAGGGGUGAAAGCCCGGGGCCCAACCCCGGGACUGCCGUUGGAACUGGAUGGCUGGAGGGGGGGAGGGGCAGGCGGAAUGCCUGGUGUAGCGGUGAAAUGCGUAGAUAUCAGGAGGAACACCGGCGGCGAAGGCGGCCUGCUGG